rnacentral:tRNA from 1 species
CAAUGCAUUAGAAUUAGAAUCUAACUA